CCUACGGGAGGCAGCAGUGAGGAAUAUUGGUCAAUGGGCUUACGCCUGAACCAGCCAAGUCGCGUGAGGGAAGACUGCCCUAUGGGUUGUAAACCUCUUUUGUCAGGGAGCAACGCCGGCUACGUGUAGCCGGACUGAGAGUACCUGAAGAAAAAGCAUCGGCUAACUCCGUGCCAGCAGCCGCGGUAAUACGGAGGAUGCGAGCGUUAUCCGGAUUGAUUGGGUUUAAAGGGUGCGUAGGCGGAAUGCCAAGUCAGCGGUAAAAUCGCGGGGCACAACCUCGCUCCGCCGUUGAAACUGGCGUUCUUGAGUGGGCGAGAAGUAUGCGGAAUGCGUGGUGUAGCGGUGAAAUGCAUAGAUAUCACGCAGAACUCCGAUUGCGAAGGCAGCAUACCGGCGCCCAACUGACGCUGAAGCACGAAAGCGUGGGUAUCGAACAGGAUUAGAUACCCUAGUAGUC
rnacentral:rRNA from 1 species